AGAGAGGCUGUCUGAGGAGGAAAUGUCAAACCGGCUUCCUUCUUCCUCUAAAGAUGCAGAGACUGAGCCAACUCUUCCUCACCCCAACAUGGUGGAGCCGCUGUCGGACCACCGAGGACACUUCAACGUCAGAAAUCGCUCUGAAGUUCCACAUCUUCCCGGUGAUCGCCUGUUUGAGGUGACGGU